rnacentral:rRNA from 1 species
UACGUAGGGUGCGAGCGUUAAUCGGAAUUACUGGGCGUAAAGAGUGCGCAGGCGGUUGUCCAAGUCCGGUGUGAAAGCCCCGGGCUCAACCUGGGAAUGGCAGUGGAAACUGGGGGACUGGAAUCUGGCAGAGGGGGGUGGAAUGCCGCGUGUAGCAGUGAAAUGCGUAGAGAUGCGGCGGAACACCGAUGGCGAAGGCAGCCCCCUGGGCUGAGAUUGACGCUCAGGCACGAAAGCGUGGGGAGCAAACAGG